rnacentral:misc_RNA from 1 species
AACGCACAUUGCGCCCGCCAGUACCCUGGCGGGCAUGCCUGUCCGAGCGUCACUUCCACCGUCGAGGCCCCCCUAGGGGGCCCGUGUUGGGGGUCCUGCGGCCUUGCCGCCAGGCCCCCGAAACGCAGUGGCGGGGCUCGCUGUCACCCCGAGCGCAGUAGGUUCUUCCACGGCUCGCUCAGGGCGUGCGGCGGGCACCCGGCCGUCAAAACCCCCCCCAACAGAAAGGUUGACCUCGGAUCAGGUAGGAAUACCCGCUGAACUUAA